GGGGAUAUAGCUCAGUGGUACAGCACCUGCUUACCAAGCAUGAGGCCAUGAGUUUGAUUCCCAGUACCA
rnacentral:tRNA from 1 species